CAGUCGCCACGGUAAUACAGAGGAUGCAAGCGUUAUCCGGAAUGACUGGGCGUAAAGCGUCUGUAGGUGGCUUUUCAAGUCCGCCGUCAAAUCCCGGGGCUCAACCCUGGACAGGCGGUGGAAACUACCAAGCUGGAGUAUGGUAGGGGCAGAGGGAAUUUCCGGUGGAGCGGUGAAAUGCGUUGAGAUCGGAAAGAACACCAACAGCGAAAUCACUCUGCUAGGCCGACACUGACACUGAGAGACGAAAUCUAGGGGAGCAAAUGGGAUUAGAUACCCCCGUAGUCCCUGUCUCUUAUAC
rnacentral:rRNA from 1 species